rnacentral:rRNA from 1 species
CGAGCACGCGCGUGUGGCAUAUCAAUAAGCGGAGGAAAAGAAACUAACAAGGAUUCCCUUAGUAACGGCGAGUGAAGCGGGAAGAGCUCAAAUUUGAAAUCUUCAAGGUUCUACCUUGACGAAUUGUAGUUUAAUAGAAGUGUUUUCUGUUAGUAGGAGGUGGCUAAAAGUUCUUUGGAAUAGGACAUCAUAGAGGGUGAGAAUCCCGUAUUUGAUCAUUCCUCCUAGCGUUGUGAUACACUUUCAACGAGUCGGAUUGUUUGGGAAUGCAGUCCAAAAUGGGUGGUAAAUUUCAUCUAAAGCUAAAUAUUGGCGGGAGACCGAUAGCGAACAAGUACCGUGAGGGAAAGAUGAAAAGAACUUUGAAAAGAGAGUUAAACAGUACGUGAAAUUGUCAAAAGGGAAGCGUUUGACACCAGUGUUGUUUUCUCGAAAAUCAAUUAAAAAGAGUUGGAUUUUGUAUUGUUAAGACCUUAUCAGCUUACUGUACUUUUUUCUUGCUCUUUUUAAUGCACUUUUCGUUUAACAAGUCAACAUCAAUUUCUUUUGUUGUAAAAGGGUCAUUGGAAGGUGGCUUUCACUUCGGUGAAAGUGUUUGUAGCCUUUGGCUUCUACAAUCGGAGAGAUUGAGGUCUGCAGCGUAGAUCCUUCGGGGUUAGAUACGUAGAUGCUAAGUUAUAGUUUUUUAUAGACAACUUGUUGACUAUGAUUAAUCAUGUAGCUUACUCGUUUACGCUAUUUUACCUACGCUUAGGAUGUUGAACUCUAUCACACACAG